GAGUAUUGUGGAAAAUAGGACCCUCCAUCCCCUCUCCCUGCAACUUCAACGAAGUGAGGCAUUUUUCAAGUAAUUUGCAAUCGUCACUUACAAAUGGACUAUCUUACGGAUAUUACAACACUUUUCCCAAUUUUUGUUGGCUAGCUAUUCGAUUUAAACGUUCCAGGUAUAACAGAACUUUUGGAAGGCAGUGUAUAUGCAUUGUGUAUGUUAUGUUCAACAGGCUAAUCAGGAAAACACAUACGUAUGUCGUAUCAAUGUUAUCUACCAACACAGGUAUGCAGGUGACUGUAAACUAAGGUGGCCUAACACUGCAGGCACUCAGGUUCUCCUCUCAAUGGCAUAAACACACACGUACAAAAUCAGCGAGUGCUUAUUGGUGUUCAUGAAACAUUAAUUCGAAAACAAUAUUUGUUAAAACAUUUUGAAAGUAAAAAUAGCUUUUGUGUGUACCUGUACUGCUUUAGCCGAAUAUAUAGAAUAUCUUUGUUGUCAGUUCCGAGUCUCCCUCUCGGUAUGUAAACAUGAUCACUGAUAACGAGCGGCCAUGUUUGUAACACGAUACAACUGAUCGUCCAACAUGGCUAUCAAACACAGUGUGAUUAUCGUUAUUGUGACUUUAUCCUCAUUUUACAGUGCCCAUGGACAACAGGUCAAGGUGACUGCCCCUCCGGAGAUCACACCAGGGAGACCACUCUCACUGUCAGGUGUGCCCCAUCUGAUAUCAGCCAAUGGAAGUCCGUCCAAACACUGAAACUCUACAAGCGGCCGGAUAACAUGUUAUCAAAUAACAUGCAAAAGCCUAUUGUAACCUUUACGUACAACGAGGGAAAGGAAACUGACGUAAAAUGGGAGGACCAAGAGCUUCAACAGCGAUUUGGAGUGGACGUGAACGGUGAUUUGGCCAGCGACAAUCCCUAUCUCGAACUGACCAUUGCCGGUCAGAACACACAGGAGAAUGACGCCGGUACAUAUUGGUGUGGUUUGAUGGGUACAUUCGGGAAUGGCGAGUUCCUUUAUAUCACGGGAGACACACAUAUAGACGUCGCCUGAUGUCACUAAUAUUGUCAAUGUUUUGUACCAAUAAAAUAUCAUUUACAUGUA